rnacentral:rRNA from 1 species
GGGUAGGGCGAGGAGAGGAGGUACGGCGGCGGCGGCGACGAAGGGGGGAGGGAGAGCCGGCGGGCAGAGGGGGCGGCCGACCGCGUCGAGGAGCGCAGCGGAAGGAGAGGAGAAGUACGCGCCGCCGCAGAGCAGUAGUUGUCGGUGGCGGGUAGGGGUCGGGGGUGGGAUCGGAGGGGUUAGGGGAGGAGGGCGUGCUUGGGAUCGUCUCUCUCUUCUACUCUCCCUCUCUCUCUUCCUUCCUCUCCCCUCCUCCCUCUUUCUCUCUCCUUUCUCCCCUCCCUCCACACCGCCGGCCACAGCCGGACGCGGCCGUUCCAGCCCGCGCUGGACCGCCAACCGCCGCCGAGCUAGGCAAGGACCUAGACGCUCCUCCGACCCCGAGCCCGUGCUACGUGCCCUCCGACGUGGGGCGGAGGUAGAGGUGCGCACGUCGCCGCUGGGGCCCUCCUCGAGCUCGGCGUCGCCACCAGGUGCCGCGGUCGCAGCCGUCCUCCUCGCACCCGGCAUCUCUGCCGGCCGAGGCAGGCCGAAAGCGCGACGGCAGGUAGGUGGGCUCGCUAGUCAGGCGCGCAGGAGCGGGGGCAGGAGAGUGCGUGCGGGAGCACAGACCUAUAAACGAAAGUCAGUGCCUAAGAACUUCUUUUGUCCUUUUGUCCAUUAUAUAUACUAAUCACAAACCCACUGGCAACUAAGGAUGUGGCUCAACACAACGACAUGUUUAUCGGAGAGAAAAACCACCACUGUGCCACAGGGAAGGUCCAAGUCGUCGUCCGUUACGAGUUCUGUCUCAACCCACGUGUAGUAUAUAUAUGUAUACAACAGCGUAGAAUUAUUUGUCUCUACUCGUCUUCGUCUCUACUCUAUAGAUAGGCUGACAGUAGGAAGGGUCUGAACCCAGACAGUAGAGACAGUCGUAGGCGAAGGCGAAGGAAUCAACCAACAGCGAAGAAACAUUGUGGUAAACUUAUUUAUUAUUUAUUCGGACUCAAACCUAAUUAGAACGCAUCGGGUAACCUAACUAACCUAUAGUCUUCUAUGCACAUAUGAAUCGGUUCUGUAAUAUACGACUGACUCAAGGGAUUCGUCCCUAAAAGUCAGUGUGAAAGAUAUCGGUGCAAGUACUCAACUAAGUCAUAUCGAGUACUCAACUAAGUCAUAAUAAUAACUAAACGUUAUGUCAACUAAGUCAUGAUUACAUAUAUGACAUAUGCUUACGUGUAGGGUAUUAACAACACCAUCUGACAGCAGACGUCAGGUAAAUAUACCAGAAAGAGGUCUUUGAUAUCCACACAAGAGAUAUGACAAGGUCACAUGAUUUAGACUUGUAUAUAGGAAGUUUAUUAGAUGAUAAAGUAAUCCGUGUUUAACCAUGUCUAUUUGGUGUGUAGAGACGUCUGUUUGGAAACAAAAGGUAUAUAGGGUAAUUCUUUUAUUUACAGUGAAGUCUACAUCACUUUUCUUCAAAUCAACGGCGGAGUCGAGGAAUGACCGCUGACCACACUUAGUAGAGUCAAAAAAUUACAGUGACAAAUAGAAUAAAUCAGAACUCUUAACAACACACACAAGAAGAGAUCCAACACGUUCGGUUCACCAACUACGUAACGAAGAAACAUGUCAAAAACACCUACAAAACCAGACAGAUAUGGUAUAAUUCGUUUAUACUCAUGAAAAUCGACAUCACCUUUUGUUCUUAAAUUGUCUCAAAAACGGUUUAACUGUAAAGAGACGACUUUAAUAAGGACUUACAUUACUAUCUUCAAAAAAGGGGGUAAAGAUAUAACAGAGCUUACAAACCUUUUAACAUAGUGACGUUACGGAAGAAGCAUAGACACCUUAACCUCUUUUUACGUAUGUACAAUAACUACGGAAUCGUUCUUCCGAGCGGCCGACCCUCUACCGCUCGCGGUCACUCGUGAUACGUGCCACAUCGUUCGACCUGUUCUCGCACUCGCUGUCAGUUCUGUACUCGAUAGGUCACAUCCAAGUCUGUUAAGUAAGUAAGUAACGUCCAAGCCGUACAGAGUAAUACAGAAAAACGAAGUAUAAGUCCCAGUUUGACCCGAUAUAAAGAAAGUAACUCCGCUCCUACUAAGGUCGUC